rnacentral:lncRNA from 1 species
GAAGAAGCGCGAGUUCCCCCUCGCUAUCGGAGGCUGGGUGUCGUUCUCCAGUGCAGAUUGUCUAAUUGAGUUUCUGAAAGCGUCGUCCACGUCUGCACUUCAUGGGUCCAUACACUGGGAACUCACGCCUGAGAACUUCCUGCUCACCAGAUUGGUUUCAGUUUCUCUGUCUCCAUCGAAGAAGGUCAGCCCUUUGCCUCGAACAGUUUCAUGAUUACACUCAUGACAUGAUUUACAGUACAGUAGUCUCAUGCGUUGAGCUCAUAAUACUGCAGUACGGACAUACAUUUUCCAAGCAUAAAUUAAUGCAGAAGUUAUUGCAACAGGAGGGCCUCUAAUUGUAAUUCAUAUACACAUUUCAGCUCAAUAACCAUAUAACGCAUCUUGCCCGAGCUUGAUACUUCCGACUAUCUCCAUGUCUUUCGGGUCAAAGUUAAGUUAGCUCUAUAUCCGAGCAGGCAUUUUAUUCUUUGGGAGCAAGCAAGAAUCAAUAUAUUCUCUCGCAAUAUUAUUUCCUCCUUCCCCUUGUCUUCCUAAUCCCCUGCAGAUGGCAUGACUAGCUAGGUUCAUAACAGUUGUUGUAACUAUCCGUCCGGUCAUGAAUCAACAAUUACAAUUGUUUUGACUUCUACGAUCAGUUCAGCCGCCUAUGUUGUACUGCCGCUGCCAUUUAAAGAUUUAAGUUGUCAGGUGGAUAUAGGUUCCAUUAGAUUGAAAGUAAUGAAAUUUUAUUUGCCAACCUGGCUGCACUUUGUGAUGCUUUAUUUAUGUAUAUACUUAAAGUUCAAAUGUGAUGUAUGCUUUACUCCUUAUUUGAUACUUGCAUUUGUCGCAAGCACCUUGCUGUUCUGAGUAAUGGUUGAUAUCUUACAUUUAGCCGAGAAGCUGAAAACUUACGAGAUGGAAAACCUUCUAGAUAUACCUAAAAAGACCUUGAAGAUAUCUUCUACUAGACUGGACGAGCUGAUUGACUGGCGAUGGGGAUGCAGCAGUGACCUGCAAUUCUUUCUGCUGUGGAUGGUUCAUUUUGAAAUCUUUUUUAUAUCUGACAAGACACAAGAAAACAACAUAUCUAUCCUGUUAUAUUUACCACUAUCAUCUACAGUGAGUGCUAAGUUGCCCAUAAAUUUUAGUUGACUUCUGUUCAGAGUGAUCUGAAAAAUAGAUAGCAUAAAAGAUUAGUGGGUAUUACAUUUAGAUUAGUUACAUUUGGGCAAAUAAAUGAGUAGAAGUCAAUUUUGUUUGCUUGAUGUUUCACUUCUUUGAUCUCUUCAUCAUUCUCAUUUUGUUUCAUUGCUUACCAUUUGUUCGAAAAAAUUUCUAGCAGUGGCAAGCAUGGUUAGGGCGAGCAACGAGGGUUCCUGUAGUGCAUAACCAUUUCAAGUCGCCCAAGUUCUAAAGAGAGAUCAGAAGUGCCAGCUACUGAAGCAAAAAAAAGGACCUGAUACACAUUGUAAUCAUGGACUGCUGAUAUACCUGAUGCAUUUCUUCAUGAUGGUCGAUUUCCUUUCACCGGAUCUUACAUGUUUAAUUAUGUGUGCUCGGAACCAAAAACUGAUUGAGAUCUUCAGUUCUUACUUGCAGAUGUUCUGUUAUUCAGAGUAAUUCAGUUUCCAGUCUCUGUUUAUUAAUCAAAUUAUGGGUUAUUUUCAACCAUAUAGGCUUUUAUUAUAUGCUCAGUUAUGCUUCCAUGGGUUUUGCAUAUGUAUUAACAAAACAACCAGACUGCUAUUCUGUAUAUACUUGGAUCAAAGGGUGUACAAUUAAUUUAAUCUUACGAAAGGAAUGAGUAGGCAGCUAGCAGAAUGGGAGGACAAUCAUGACAAGCGAAGGAACACAUAAAUAGUAAUCCCACAAUUUUUACAACUGCAUUCCACUUUAAUUUGGUAUGGACAUGCAUUUUUAUCCUUGGAGUACUUUGGAUUUUAAGUGGGAAUCAUUGGUUCUUUUCUUCUUAAUAUUUUACUUCUUAUAAUUACAAAUACCAAUUUUAGAGAAUUGAGCUCGUACUUAAAAUUCAAUUGAGUAUGAAGCCACUGCCCAUUGUGUGAAAGAAACAAUUAUAACAUUGUACUCUAACAAAUCACACAUAUAGAGAAAUGUUAUUUUCGAGUCUCCUUAACCUACUGAUCUUUUUUUAGAUAUAUGAAACUUGCAUUUGUUUUCUUAAUUCUUUUGCAAUGCAGGUGAUAUUCCUUGGUUGCAGCUGACGCUAAAAAAAAUUACUCCUGAAGCACUAGAAGUGCCCUCUCUAUGGUGCAUCACUCACUGGAUCCAGAUGGGCAACAUUCCGCUUCAAGAUUAAAGAGUACAGUUUUUGCAUGCUAUCAUUGCUUAUCCAAGAGUAAUCUACCAUGUGCCUAAUUGUUAUGACCGGCCAGGUCUAUGGCCGCCGCAGGCCUAACAGGCAGGCGUAGGCCAGCAAGUUACCUUAGUUUUAUUCAGAUUAGGCAAGUUAUCUCAGGAUUGAUUCUUCUACAAGUUAUCUAGGAUAUAAAUAUAGAUUGUAAGACUCUUUUGGAUGGAAGCAAUAAAGACUAUUAUUAUCUUUUGUUGCCCGGCUCCUAGAGGAGCCGGAAACCCUAGCCGCCGCAACCUAGCCGCCACCGCCCUCAACCCUAGCCGCGACGGCGCCCUGCCGCCGGCACGCCCGCUCCUCGCCGCGCCCACUUCCUCUUUGCCCCUACAACCUACGCAGUAGAGCCGGUAGGAACCCUAGUCCUACCAAUUUGGUAUUCAGAGACCACGUUGUGAUCAUGUCGAUGCCGCCAUCACCGCCGCCGCUGCCCGUCGGCACCACCGCGCCCAUGACGACGGCGCCAAGCAUCACCGCGCCGACCACAUCCGUCGGGACCUCGCUGGCGUGUCCCGUCUCCUCCUCGGCACCACCUGCACCGGCGUCUCCGGGCGCAUCUCCACCACCACCGCUGGCCGCCUUGUCUCCGGAGCAACUCGCCGCCACGCUACAUCACCUCGUCACCGUCGUCCACUGGCUUCAGCUCCACCAGCAAUAUAGGGCCGGGGCCUAUGCUCAACCACCAUCGGGCCCGAUCGCCGCCCCUGGUCUUCUCCUACAGCAGCAGCCGCAGUACGGGGGCGGGGCGAGCCCCUUCGCGCCACCACCAGGACCGUACCAGGGCGCGGCCGCGUACGGCGGGCCGCUGUUCGGGCCGAUCCAGGCGAGAUUGGCAUCCGGGCCAGCGCCGGCCGCGACGCCCCUCUGGCCUUUGCCGCCGGCCACCUCGGCCGCCUCCUAGCUGCAGCAGCUGCCGCCCACCGUCUGGCCGGUUCAGCAGAUGCCGUUCCCCGCAUGGCCGGCCCAGCAGCCGCCGCCGACGGCGUCCCAGGGCCUGCGUCCACCGCCAUUCUCUGCGCCCUCAUCAGCCGGGACCACCUCGGGCGCGGCCUCGACUAUCGGGUUACCGAUCCAUCAGGUCCAGUUUCCCCCGUCCCCGUCCCCCCUGCCAGCAUGGGCGGCGGGGUCUUCGCCUUCACCGGUCUACUCCACGACCCCGGUUGAGCCGACUCCGUUUUCGCAGUUCGGCGGGCCAUCCGGCCCCGCCGGCCAGUACCCGGACUACUCCGAUCAGGCACCUCCGGCUUCACUCUUCCGAGCCCCCGCGCCUGCUCAGCACGGCGGGCCGCAGGAGACACCGCCGCUGUUCACCAAACUCGACUUCGCCACCUAUGAGGGCACGGAUGACCCCCUCAACUGGCUCAACCAGUGCGAACAGUUCUUUCGAGGGCAGCGGACACUCGCUUCAGAUCGUACCUGGCUCGCGUCCUAUCAUCUUCGAGGCGCAGCACAGACCUGGUACUACGCCCUCGAGCAGGACGAGGGCGGCAUGCCACCGUGGGAGCGCUUCCAGGAGCUCUGUCUUCUCCGUUUUGGGCCUCCUAUCCGCGGGAGCCGACUGGCGGCCCUCUGCCGUUUACCAUUCACAUCUACGGUGCAGGACUACGCCGAUCGCUUCCAGGCCCUGGCAUGCCACGCGCCGGGCGUCUCCGCGACCCAGCGCGCCGAGCUCUUUGUGGGCGGUCUGCCGGACCAUAUCCGCGUGGACGUCGAGCUCCGGGAUCCCCCCGAUCUCCAGACGGCCAUGUACUACGCCCGGGCCUUCAAGCAGCGGGCCCAGGCACUGCAGCCGCCACUCGGACGGAGUGGCCGCCAGCCCAGUCGGCCAGCACCGACUUCCUCAGCCCCGGGUCGGCCUCUCCCAUCCGCGACGGCCACAUCCCCGGCUGCCACACGGCCCUUCCGUCGGCUGUCACCGGCCGAGCAGCAGGAGCGUCGCAGUCAGGGUCUCUGCUUCAACUGCGAUGAGCCCUAUACGCCGACCCAUGUCUGCCCCCGCCUCUUUUAUUUAGAGACGGUCGACUACACCGAGGAGAACGACUCGCCCGAUCCGUUACAUCCGCCUGCGGCGCCCGAGGACGCGGCCGCGGAUUCCGCAGCGACGGCGUGCAUCGUCUCCCUUCAUGCCCUGGCCGGCAUCCGGGGCGAGCAGACCAUGCUGCUGCCGGUGACGAUCCAUGGUGAGCGCCUGGUGGCCCUGCUAGAUACGGGCUCCACACACAACUUUCUGUCCGAAUCGACCAUGCGUCGGCUAGCCCUCCCGACGACGGGCGGGGAGCGCCUGCGGAUCACAGUGGCGAACAGUGAUCGCCUCCGGUGCCAUGGGCUAGCCCGCGACGUUCCCAUCUCCAUCAGCGACGAACACUUUUCCAUCACUUGUGCAGGGAUCGAUCUCGGCUGCUUCGACUUCAUCCUCGGGGUGGACUUUCUCCGGACCCUCGGCCCCAUCCUAUGGGAUUUCGACGCACUCAUGAUGACAUUCUGGCGGCAGGGACGCCGCAUCCGGUGGGAGGGCAUUGGGGGCGCCGCGGCUGCCGUGCCACAUCUCCAGCUUGCUGCCGCGUCCUUGGAGGUUGAGCACCCCCUACUGGAUUCUCUUCUAGAGCAGCACAACGACCUCUUCGACGCUCCGCGGGGUCUUCCGCCUGCCCGGGUGUACGACCAUCAUAUUCACCUCGUACCAGGCUCCACUCCGGUGGCGGUACGGCCCUACCGCUACCCCCAGCUGCAGAAGGAUGAGUUGGAGCGCCAGUGUGCCCUGAUGCUCGCCGCAGGCAUCAUCCGGAUCUCCACGUCACCCUUCACGGCGCCGGUGCUUCUCGUCCGUAAGUCCGACGGCACAUGCCGCUUCUGCAUCGACUACCGCGCCCUCAACGCACUCACGCUCAAGGACAAGUUCCCUAUACCGGUGGUCGACGAGCUCUUGGAUGAGAUCCAUGGGGCACGCUUCUUCACCAAGCUCGAUCUUCGGUCGGGCUAUCAUCAGGUGCGCAUGCAUCCGGACGACAUCGCCAAGACGGCGUUUCGCACCCACCAUGGCCACUUCGAGUUCUUGGUGAUGCCUUUCGGCCUCGCCAACGCCCCGGCGACUUUCCAAGCCCUGAUGAACGACGUCCUUCGACCCUACUUACGGCGGUUUGUGCUUGUUUUCUUUGAUGACAUUCUUAUCUACAGCGCCACCUGGGCCAAACAUCUCCAGCACGUCGCCAUCGUCUUCAACGAGUUUCGGGCGCACCACCUCCACCUUAAGCGCUCAAAGUGCUCGUUCGGGACACCUACCGUCGCCUACCUCGGCCAUGUCAUCUCGGCCGACGGAGUGGCUAUGGACGCCGAUAAGGUGGCGGCCGUCUCCGCCUGGCCGACGCCUUACUCACCGCGGGCUCUCCGCGGGUUCCUCGGACUCGCUGGCUACUACUGGAAAUUUAUCCGGGAGUUCGGACUCAUCGCGGCGCCCCUCGCGUGGUUGCUUCGCCGCGAUGCCUUCGCCUGGGACGCUGAGGCGACGACGGCAUUCGAGGCCCUCAAGGGGGACCUCACGACGGGCCCCGUCCUCCAGAUGCCCGACUUCGACCGUCCGUUCGUGGUGGACUGUGACGCCUCGGGCGCCGGGUUCGGCGCAUUACUUCAUCAGGGCGAUGGGCCCCUCGCCUUCUUCAGCCGGCCUUUCGCUCCGCGCCAUCUUAAGUUGGCCGCUUACGAGCGGGAGCUCAUUGGCCUCGUCCAGGCCGUGCGUCAUUGGCGGCCAUACUUGUGGGGGCGGACCUUCCACAUUCGCACGGACCACUACAGCCUGAAGUUCUUGCUGGAUCAACGGCUGUCGACCGUACCGCAGCACCAGUGGAUCAGCAAGCUCUUCGGCUUCGACUUCUUCGUCGAGUAUCGGUCGGGCCGUCUUAACACCUUGGCCGACGCGCUAUCCCGUCGCGAUUCCGACCUCGCGCCAACCGCCGACGCGUCCGCCGGGACGGCCCUGUGCAUCCGCUUCAGGCCAUCGUUCGGUCUCUUCACCGACAUUCGACGCGCCACUGCGACGGCCGAUGACGCCGCACUUCUUCAGCAGCAGCUUGCGGUCAGCGACUUGGAGGAGCCCUGGCGCUUCUCUGACGGACUGCUCCUGCAUGGACACCGGAUCUUUGUUCCGGCGCAUGAUGAUCUCCGUCACCAGGUGUUGCAGCUCGCUCACUCGGCGGGCCAUGAGGGUGUGCAGAAAACCCUCCAUCGUCUUCGCGCCGACUUCUACAUCCUUGGCGAUCGUGCCCUGGUCCGCGACUGGGUUCGGUCUUGUCAGACUUGCCAGCGCAACAAGACAGAAACCCUGAGACCGGCGGGGCUCCUUCAGCCCUUGGAGGUGCCGUCUCAGGUUUGGGCGGAUAUCUCCUUGGACUUCAUCGAGGGCCUUCCCAAGGUAGGGGGCAAGUCAGUCAUCCUCACGGUGGUCGAUCGCUUCUCUAAGUAUGCCCACUUCAUCGCGUUGGGCCAUCCGUACACAGCGGCAUCCGUGGCCCGGGCUUUCUUCAACGGCAUAGUCUGUCUACACGGGUUCCCGAUGUCGAUCGUCAGUGAUUGGGACCCAAUCUUCACGGGCCAUGUCUGGCGCGACCUCUUCAGGAUGGCGGGUGUCCAGCUCCGCCUGAGUAUGGCGUUCCAUCCUCAGAAUAACGGUCAGUCUGAGGUGGUUAACAAGGUCAUUGCCAUGUAUUUGCGUUGUGUGACAGGUGAUCGACCUCGCGCUUGGGUGGACUGGCUAUCUUGGGCGGAGUACUGCUACAACACUUAUUAUCACUCCACCCUGCGCGCGACGCCAUUUGAGGUGGUCUAUGGUCGACCACCCCCGCCUAUACUUCCGGUCGACCCGGAGACGGCUCGGACAGCAGUAGCGGGUGACCUUAUCUGCACCCGUGAUGAGAUGCUGGCUGAGGUCCGUCAGCGUCUCCUUCAGGCCCAGCAGACGGCCAAGCACUACUACGACGAUCAUCAUCGCGAGGCGGAGUUCGCAGUGGGUGACUGGGUGUGGCUGCGUCUUCUCCACCGCUCUACGCAGUCACAGGACCCGCAGGCAAAGCGCAAGCUUGGCCCUCGCUACGCCGGGCCCUUCCCUAUCAUGGAGCGCAUUGGGAAGGUGGCCUAUCGUCUUCAGCUUCCAGCCCGCGCCCGCAUCCACGACGUGUUCCAUGUGGGGCUGCUCAAACCUUUCCGUGGCGAGCCACCGGCGGCUCCUCCGACGCUUCCUCCAACCGCCGAUGGUCGCAUUCUUCCAGAGCCAGCAAAGGUGUUGCAGGCUCAGCUCCGUCGUGGCGUCUGGUUCAUCCUAAUUCAGUGGGCGGGCCUUCCGGAGGAAGAGGCGACUUGGGAGCAGCGUGAGGAUUUCCGUCAAAACUAUCCAGACUUUCAGCUCGAGGACGAGCUGUUUGCGCAGGCGGGGAGAGAUGUUAUGACCGGCCAGGUCUAUGGCCGCCGCAGGCCCAACAGGCAAGCUUAGGCCCGCAAGUUACCUUAGUUUUAUUCAGAUUAGGCAAGUUAUCUCAGGAUUGAUUCUUCUACAAGUUAUCUAGGAUAUAAAUAUAGAUUGUAAGACUCUUUUGGAUGGAAGCAAUAAAGACUAUUAUUAUCUUUUGUUGCCCAGCUCCUAGAGGAGCCGGAAACCCUAGCCGCCGCAACCUAGCUGCCACCGCCCUCAACCCAAGCCGCGACGGCGCCCUGCCGCCGGCGCGCCCGCUCCUCGCCGCGCCCACUUCCUCUUUGCCCCUACAACCUACGCAGUAGAGCCGGUAGGAACCCUAGUCCUACCACUAAUAUAUAUACAUGAUUGUUGCACCAUCACAAGAUUUCCAUUAUAUACAUGGGCAUAACUUUCUUUUACUGUGAAUUAAUCGACACGAUGCUUGUGUUUUAAGGAAUGGCAAUGCUAAAUUCUACAGUGGUACACUCUACUCUGUCGAAUGUUUACAAACACCACAAAGCUAGAGAUCUAUUGUGGAAACCUUUCUUUCUUUUGUUUGUUAUAACUUCUUAGUGUAAAAAUAAAUAUGGCUUGUCCAUUACGAAACAAAUAUGUAAGAUUUAUUACUUUUCAAAGUUGAAUUGUUCCUGACAAUUACACAUGAGAGUGCAUAUAAUUCAGUUGUGCUGACUUGCUGUUUCUAAAAUGAUAAGCUGGAGCUGGAGUUACAUAUGAGAGUACAGAUAAUUAAGUUGUGCUCCUGACUUGAUUAACAAAAGCUGCAGAAGAAAGGGACAAAAUACCAAAAAGCUGAAAAUUUGAAGAAAGGUGGAAGUAGGGAACUACCCAACUUGAUUCAAGAUUACGAAGGGAAAAAGGGCAUUGAUUGAGCAGGAGAAAACAAUAAUGGGCCGAGGCAAGGAUAUAGUGCUCAGUUAGUAAAGAGAUAUGUAGGAAGUGGAGCAGCGGGAUGCAAAUGGAAUUUUUGUGACUCACUGAAGGUGAGCAAAACUUCAGAAAAGAAAUUGCAACAGAAGUAGAGCCUCAUCACCAAGAGAACAUAGGGAUUUUAAGUUUUUUGUAGCCUGCACCGGAGACUGUAGAGUUAAGUUUCUACAUCUCAGUGUACAAUUUAACUAUAUCAGGUAAUUUACUAUGUAGUAAAUAUUUGCUUUUGCCAUUGCUGAUCAUGUCCUUCUCUCUGUGCUUGGAAGCAUAAACUUACUUAGCGAUCCUUUUUUGUUAGGCUAAACUUACAUCCUUCUGCUAAUAGUUUAGUGAUCUAAUGAUUAUAAUGAUUAUUCAAAAGGGACAUUGCAUGUUCCUAGAUGCAUAGCCUUUCUUAUAUAUGUUUUCAUAACACUGGAUUUUUUUAGGGAUAACACUAGGAUUUUAGUUUUUUUGUUGAAUUCUGAAACUGAAAUCCGAAUAAACCAUAUCUUGAAAGGCCAGCAUAAUGGCACUUCAAAUAAAUGCUAAUCUACACUCACACUGCAGGCUGGUGCCCGUUCUUCUGGUGAUUUGGUCAAAGCUACUACUAAGCAAAGAUAUUUUGCAUGCUAUAAGAACAUGUAGGUUCAUAUCGGGCACCCAUACGAUCCUGCUAAGAAUUUUGAAUUACUUAGAUAUAUUAGCAACAACAUCGUUUAAAAUCCAAAUGAAUGGCAUACUCCCUGUUAAUUCAAAUGCAGAUACAAACUUUAAGCUUUCCUAAAUAAGGAAAUAUAUUUACAGUCCAAGUGUAGUAAUCUGGGAGUUUGAAAUUAUUUCCCCUUUUUAAAAAGCCAGAGACAUUGAAGUUAAUAUUCACAUACAUGGCAGGGAAGGAUUGAUCUCUCUGCUUAGCAAUGAAUUUGUAGCACCCGAUGAAAACAAAUAUUGUGCAGACCCUAUGGCGUCAUUGUGUUAGUAGGCCGUAUUGGCGUUGCAAUCUCCUCUUGGACUAACUAAUGCAUAGGUUAUAAAGCACAUCAAACCUUUUGUAGACCAACAAAUCCAACAUGCUAUGUAGAUCUUGUGUGUACGGAUUAAUCUGAUUGAUGACUGAUGGAAAGCUUCAGGACUUGUAUUCCCCCCUCACCCCAUAUCUGUAGUUUCCUAUGAGUCACUUUCAAAUCUGGAUAUUCUCCUAUAUAUUAACUACUGCAUUGGAGGAAAUUAAGUCACUUGCAAUCUACAAUUAAAGAAUAAUUAAGUGGGACCUUGAGAAACAAUAGUUUGCCAUGGUCUGCAAUGGAGCAGAGCCAAAGAGUUUGACCAGAAUAAAAGUCUGGACAACAAAAUUCAAUGGAGAGAGAUAUCCAUCUGUUACCCACAAAUGAUUAUUUUUUUGUUAGUGCCUCUUCUUCUUUCUUGCCCAUUAUUUAGUUAUAACGUGACAAAAUAAACAUGUUGAUUAUACCCGACUUGCACUGAACAUGAAAUUUUUGUUUAUGCACAAACAUGCGAGUUGUGUAGUACUGUAGGUUGACACUGCAUCGAAACAUAACACACAAUUACAUGUGCGUGUAUGAGGAGAAACUAUACCUGCAGCACACAUCCAUCUAUCUCGGUUUAUGGUGAACUGGCAAAUUUAUGGUAAUGAAGCAUGUAGCUGAGGUGUGAGACAAAUCUUCCGUAGAGUGUUAAUGUUGUUAGUAGUAAUUAACUUGUCUCCUAGGAGCUAACUGCAGCAACUUACCUUGAUUGUUAGAUACAGUAUAGCAUUAUUCAUCUUCAUCCAUGAUUAAUUCUUCUGUUUGCUGCAAUUCUUUGACAAUUCUUAGCAUCACACAACCAAAGGUGAGAAGCAAAAAUUUGAAGCACGGAACAAAAAAUUCACAAACCAAUGCAUUUAGUAACCAUCGUGGUUCUUACAGGUCCUUUGCAAUCCAAAUUCCAGUUCUAUGACUUGAAAGGAAGGAUGAAGUCCAUGUCAUGAAAAUUUUAAUAUGUGGUCGCUGCCUCCUCCAGCCAUGGAUUUCAAAGGUACGCAGAUUCACCUACAACAUGCAUAUGGGAGAACUUGCAGAUCUGAAGGAAUCAAGCAUCUAGCUAAGGUGCUUGUAGCCACGAUCAGUGCUCCAUCGAGCAAUUUCUUAGGGCUGCACAGAUGCAACAACCUGGUAGAUAGGAUCAUCCUCUAUUAAAAAUAGCCAAAGGAAGAUGUCAACAUCAGAGAUCCCAUAUAGGCCAGGAUAAUGUCAAAAUAUCUUGGCAUGGGCACGUGGCUCAUAGCCUGAACUUGACACCGUUUACUCCAUGCUCGUGGUGGAGGCCUAGUCUCGACGGGGGCAUGGCAGUGGCGUGCGUUAGGAUUGGAUUCCGUCGAAGACCUAUGAUUGAUUUUCUAGCUGAGGCUGCGUGCGUGAGGGCUGGAGAGUCGGUUGUAGCCACGGGAUUCUGGCGGCGGCAGCGUGCGUGAGGGCAGGGGAGUCUGUAGCCCUAUUAUGUUUUUCUUCUUUCAACGAUGGACUCAGGUAAUGGGAAAACUAAUCUAUGGCAUGACCCUGUAUAUUUUAUCUUCUUUUCAUCAUGGAGUCAAGGUUUCUAAAAAAAUUAUGGCAUUGCUGAAUCGUAGAGGCAGGUGAAAGCUAUUUUGACGCAUCAUAUGCUUUAGUAGGGUUAUCUCUACCUCUCUAUCUCUACCUAAUCUCUACCUAAUAAUAAUAAAGCAAAUUGGGUUUCUGCUUGUCCGUCAUUAGCAUUUUUUCUAAAAAGCCCCUCCCUUUUUUAGUAUUUAACCCGCAGUAUAAUUUAAAGUCUGUUUCUUCCUGAGAUAAUGAUUCGUUUUUUGCAAAAAGGACCCCGGCACCACCACCACAGCCCCGCCUUAUCCACUGCCGGCAUUCACAAACGGGCAGCGGCGCGCUUGCCGCGGCGUCCGCUCCGCCCGAGCCCAGUAAUGGGGCGAGGCGUCGCGGCGGCGUUCCUGCAUGCCUUGUCGGCCUUGGAGCUAGCCUUGGCGGGGGCGGGCCGAGGCGUCGCGGCAGAGGACGUUAAGCAGACGGGCACGCGCCGCCGGCGCGCUUGCCGUGGGCGUCCGCUUCGCCCGAGCCCAGGAGUGGGCCGAGGGGUCGCGCCGGCGUUCCUACACGCCUUGUCGCCCUUGAAGCUGGCCUUGGCGGACCGAGGCGUCGCGGCGGAGGACGACAAGGCGGCCGACGUGCUCUGUUGGGGCGACGCGUCGCGGCGCUCCGGCUCCAGCAGAUGACGGCAGAGAGCCAGGUGUGGCUUUGUGUCGCCAACAGCCACGAGGUCAUCCGCGCCGGCCACCGUGCCAGGCUGGACCAGCUGCUGCAGCCCCCCUGCGCCGUCGCCGUCGCCGUGGCACAAGAAGCGCGAGUUCCCCCUCGCUAUCGGAGGCUGGGUGUCGUUCUCCAGUGCAGAUUGUCUAAUUGAGUUUCUGAAAGCGUCGUCCACGUCUGCACUUCAUGGGUCCAUACACUGGGAACUUACGCCUGAGAACUUCCUGCUCACCAGAUUGGUUUCAGUUUCUCUGUCUCCAUCGAAGAAGGUCAGCCCUUUGCCUCGAACAGUUUCAUGAUUACACUCAUGACAUGAUUUACAGUACAGUAGUCUCAUGCGUUGAGCUCAUAAUACUGCAGUACGGACAUACAUUUUCCAAGCAUAAAUUAAUGCAGAAGUUAUUGCAACAGGAGGGCCUCUAAUUGUAAUUCAUAUACACAUUUCAGCUCAAUAACCAUAUAACGCAUCUUGCCCGAGCUUGAUACUUCCGACUAUCUCCAUGUCUUUCGGGUCAAAGUUAAGUUAGCUCUAUAUACGAGCAGGCAUUUUAUUCUUUGGGAGCAAGCAAGAAUCAAUAUAUUCUCUCGCAAUAUUAUCUCCUCCUUCCCCUUGUCUUCCUAAUCCCCUGCAGAUGGCAUGACUAGCUAGGUUCAUAACAGUUGUUGUAACUAUCCGUCCGGUCAUGAAUCAACAAUUACAAUUGUUUUGACUUCUACGAUCAGUUCUGCCGCCUAUGUUGUACUGUCGCUGCCAUUUAAAGAUUUAAGUUGUCAGGUGGAUAUAGGUUCCAUUAGAUUGAAAGUAAUGAAAUUUUAUUUGCCAACCUGGCUGCACUUUGUGAUGCUUUAUUUAUGUAUAUACUUAAAGUUCAAAUGUGAUGUAUGCUUUACUCCUUAUUUGAUACUUGCAUUUGUCGCAAGCACCUUGCUGUUCUGAGUAAUGGUUGAUAUCUUACAUUUAGCCGAGAAGCUGAAAACUUACGAGUUGGAAAACCUUCUAGAUAUACCUAAAAAGACCUUGAAGAUAUCUUCUACUAGACUGGACGAGCUGAUUGACUGGCGAUGGAGAUGCAGCAGUGACCUGCAAUUCUUUCUGCUGUGGAUGGUUCAUUUUGAAAUCUUUUUUAUAUCUGACAAGACACAAGAAAACAACAUAUCUAUCCUGUUAUAUUUACCACUAUCAUCUACAGUGAGUGCUAAGUUGCCCAUAAAUUUUAGUUGACUUCUGUUCAGAGUGAUCUGAAAAAUAGAUAGCAUAAAAGAUUAGUGGGUAUUACAUUUAGAUUAGUUACAUUUGGGCAAAUAAAUGAGUAGAAGUCAAUUUUGUUUGCUUGAUGUUUCACUUCUUUGAUCUCUUCAUCAUUCUCAUUUUGUUUCAUUGCUUACCAUUUGUUCGAAAAAAUUUCUAGCAGUGGCAAGCAUGGUUAGGGCGAGCAACGAGGGUUCCUGUAGUGCAUAACCAUUUCAAGUCGCCCAAGUUCUAAAGAGAGAUCAGAAGUGCCAGCUACUGAAGCAAAAAAAAGGACCUGAUACACAUUGUAAUCAUGGACUGCUGAUAUACCUGAUGCAUUUCUUCAUGAUGGUCGAUUUCCUUUCACCGGAUCUUACAUGUUUAAUUAUGUGUGCUCGGAACCAAAAACUGAUUGAGAUCUUCAGUUCUUACUUGCAGAUGUUCUGUUAUUCAGAGUAAUUCAGUUUCCAGUCUCUGUUUAUUAAUCAAAUUAUGGGUUAUUUUCAACCAUAUAGGCUUUUAUUAUAUGUUCAGUUAUGCUUCCAUGGGUUUUGCAUAUGUAUUAACAAAACAACCAGACUGCUAUUCUGUAUAUACUUGGAUCAAAGGGUGUACAAUUAAUUUAAUCUUACGAAAGGAAUGAGUAGGCAGCUAGCAAAAUGGGAGGACAAUCAUGACAAGCGAAGGAACACAUAAAUAGUAAUCCCACAAUUUUUACAACUGCAUUCCACUUUAAUUUGGUAUGGACAUGCAUUUUUAUCCUUGGAGUACUUUGGAUUUUAAGUGGGAAUCAUUGGUUCUUUUCUUCUUAAUAUUUUACUUCUUAUAAUUACAAAUACCAAUUUUAGAGAAUUGAGCUCGUACUUAAAAUUCAAUUGAGUAUGAAGCCACUGCCCAUUGUGUGAAAGAAACAAUUAUAACAUUGUACUCUAACAAAUCACACAUAUAGAGAAAUGUUAUUUUCGAGUCUCCUUAACCUACUGAUCUUUUUUUAGAUAUAUGAAACUUGCAUUUGUUUUCUUAAUUCUUCUGCAAUGCAGGUGAUAUUCCUAAUGGUUGCUGCUGACGCUUAAAAAAUUACUCCUGAAGCACUAGAAGUGCCCUCUCUAUGGCGCAUCACUCACUGGAUCCAGAUGGGCAACAUUCCGCUUCAAGAUUAAAGAGUACAGUUUUUGCAUGCUAUCAUUGCUUAUCCAAGAGUAAUCUACCAUGUGCCUAAUAUAUAUACAUGAUUGUUGCACCAUCACAAGAUUUCCAUUAUAUACAUGGGCAUAACUUUCUUUACUGUGAAUUAAUCGACACGAUGCUUCUGUUUUAAGGAAUGGCAAUGCUAAAUUCUACAGUGGUACUCUCUACUCUGUCGAAUGUUUACAAACACCACAAAGCUAGAGAUCUAUUGUGGAAACCUUUCUUUCUUUUGUUUGUUAUAACUUCUUAGUGUAAAAAUAAAUAUGGCUUGUCCAUUAGGAAACAAAUAUGUAAGAUUUAUUACUUUUCAAAGUUGAAUUGUUCCUGACAAUUACACAUGAGAGUGCAUAUAAUUCAGUUGUGCUGACUUGCUGUUUCUAAAAUGAUAAGCUGGAGUUGGAGUUACAUAUGAGAGUAGAGAUAAUUUAGUUGUGCUCCUGACUUGAUUAACAAAAGCUGCAGAAGAAAGGGACAAAAUACCAAAAAGCUGAAAAUUUGAAGAAAGGUGGAAGUAGGGAACUACACAACUUGAUUCAAGGUUACGAAGGGACAAAGGGCAUUGAUUGAGCAGGAGAAAACAAUAAUGGGCCGAGGCAAGGAUAUAGUGCUCAGUUAGUAAAGAGAUAUGUGGGAAGUGGAGCAGCGGGAUGCAAAUGGAAUUUUUGUGACUCACUGAAGGUGAGCAAAACUUUAGAAAAGAAAUUGCAACAGAAGUAGAGCCUCAUCACCAAGAGAGCAUAGGGAUUUUAAGUUUUUUGUAGCCUGCACCGGAGACUGUAGAGUUAAGUUUCUACAUCUCAGUGUACAGUUUAACUAUAUCAG